rnacentral:misc_RNA from 1 species
UACCUCCCGCGAAUCUGUAACUUUCACUAUGAUAGAAACCAACUCAUCUCUGGAUAGAAAUGUGAGGUACUUCGUAUGAGAUUGACAUGGACGAGUGUGAAAUUGGAUCUAAGCUCAAUGGCAGCAACGACGUUCGGUUAAAUCCUAUGAGAUGAUACACUACGCAGUAAAUGGUAACUUGACACAUCCUUUAUUUGUCGUUUAAAUAAAGUUUGUUCAAAUAUUAAGUACAAAAAAACAAUCAGUGAUGCCACGGUAAACGUUCCAAACAAGAAUAGUUGUUGAGAACUUGGAGAUUUCAUGCGGUAAGAGUAACGAGAGGUUAGGAGCGUAGUACAAUCGACAAUCGACUACAGAAAAAUGGAAAUUUCUCCUAAAAUUCAAAAAUUGGAUCAGACGGUAGUAAACAGGAUUGCAGCUGGUGAGGUUAUCCAACGGCCAGCCAACGCAUUGAAAGAAUUGAUCGAAAAUAGCCUCGAUGCACGAGCUAAUAACAUUCAAAUCCUUGUCAAAGAGGGUGGACUAAAAUUGCUGCAAAUUCAAGACAAUGGAACCGGAAUUAGAAAGGAGGACAUGGAGAUCGUUUGUGAAAGGUUUACAACCAGCAAAUUACAAAAGUUUGAAGAUCUGAGAUCGAUAUCUACGUUCGGAUUUCGAGGAGAAGCUUUGGCAAGCAUAAGCCAUGUUGCAUUGUUGACAAUUAUGACAAAAACUGCUGAUGAAAAAUGUGCAUAUAAAGGAUCGUACAUUGACAGUAAAUUAAAUGGGCAGCUGAAACCUUGUGCUGGAAAUCAAGGUACAACGAUAACAAUUGAAAAUUUAUUUUACAAUGUUUCUACACGGCGAAAGGCACUGUCAAAUAUAUCCGAAGAAUUGAAUAAAAUCGUAGAAGUUGUUACCAAAUAUGCAAUCCAUAAUCCUGCAGUAGCAUUUAUGUUAAAAAAACAAGGAGAUUUAACUCCACAGAUACGAACAAUGUACAACUCGACAAAAGUAAAUAAUAUUCGAAAUCUCUAUGGAAAUUCUAUUGCUCGAGAGCUCCUUGAGAUAGAACAUGCACAUGAAAAAUAUAAAUUUAAAAUGCAAGCUCUUGUGACGAACCCCAAUUAUUCGAGCAAGAGGUUAAUAUUUCUCUUAUUUAUCAAUCACAGGCUUGUUGAGUCGACAUCUAUCCGAAAAAUGCUGGAAGAUUUAUACUCGAUAUAUAUCCCAAAGAGGACACAUCCGUGGUGUUAUUUGUCUCUAGAAAUUAAUCCAAAUAAUAUCGAUGUCAAUGUACACCCAACAAAGCAUGAGGUUAAAUUCCUUCAUGAAGAUGCAAUAAUUGAACAAAUAAAACUUGCUUUAGAUGAGAAACUAGCUAAUAACAGUGCUGCAAGAACCUUUUAUAUGCAAGCAAGAUUACCAGAUGUGAAUAUACCAAAGGAGGUCUUAGAAGAGAUUUUACCAGAAUACCAAAAAGAGAAUUCAGGAAAAUCAAAGAAAACUCAUGCCCGGGAAAUGAUUAGAACCAAUUCUAAUGAUCAGAAACUUGAUAAAUUUAAUUUUACGGUACAUUCUGCGAUGAAACAUAGCAGAAUUAAUUCCAGUAACUCAGAAAUUAAUAUUAAUGACAAUAGAUCAGGGUUGAUUAAUGUCGUUUUUUCCACUGUAGAACAUGCAAUAAAUUCUAAUAAACAAUUUGAAAAGGGGAACGAAUUUCAACUUGAGAGAAAUGCUGGAAAUAAAAAUGAUAAGAAGACUGUAUCUAAAACUGAAAAUAAUGCUGAAAAGGAGAUUGAAUCAACUGAUGACGUUGAGGAUAGUUUUAGUGGAAUUUUAGAUGAACCAAUGCAAUCUAUCCAAGUUCUAAAAUCUAUUAAUGAUACUUCUGUAAAUUACCCAUGUACAUCGAUACAAUCCGAUACGGCACAAGUUAUCCCUUCAGUCCCAAAUAAUAUUGAUUUGUGUGAAUCUAUGGAUGUGUACAUGCAAGAUAAGCAGAAUAAGAUGGAACUUGACACAGGUAACGACAGCACAAAUAAUGUUGCAAAUAAAGCAUUGAAAAGAGUUUAUCAAUACUUUAACAAUGGAAAUGUUAUAGAUCAUAAAAAGAAAAUCAGUGAAAAAAAUCAGAAAAUGUAUACUAAUGAAAGGAUUACAGUGGAUAAUAUUUUAAUAACAUCAAAUAAAAUUCAGAAUGAAAGAGUAAACGAUGUUGAGAUUUCAAAUGUUAUUCAAGAACAACUUUGUAAGGGAAACAUGGUGCAAGAACCAACGACUUCACCAGAACAAUCAGAUACUCUAAACAAAAAAGAAAACGAGGCACAGAACUCAGGAUUUAAAUCAUAUUCAGUGAAUCAUUUCAGACAUGAAGUAAAACUGAUUAGUGUCUUGAAUUUACGCAAGAUGGUAGAAGAUACUUAUCACCAAGGCCUUAGAGAAAUUUUAUCAAAUAUGACCUUUGUUGGUUGCGUUGAUGAAACUUCAGCUCUAAUUCAAAGUGGCGUUAAUCUGUAUAUUUGCAAUACUCAAAAAUUAGCUGAGGAGCUCUUUUACGAGAUAAUGCUGUAUGACUUUGCAAACUAUGGAGUAAUAAAAUUUACGACUUGGAAGAAGCAGGAUGGACAGAAGAAGAUGGAAAAAAGGAAGACUUGGCAGAAAGUGUGAAAGAAUUAUUACUGGAGAAGACGGAUAUGAUGAAGGAGUAUUUUUCUGUUGUCAUUGACAAGGGAGGAAACUUAAGAUCUUUACCAAUACUGUUAGAUAAAUAUUUUCCAAGCGAAGCAGAAAUUCCACUAUAUAUUUUGAGAUUAGCUACAGAAGUAAACUGGAAAAAGGAACAACCUUGUUUCAAUGAUAUUUGCAGGGAAACUGCCAGAUUUUAUAGCCGUAUCGAUAGAAAC